rnacentral:tRNA from 1 species
UAUACUCAAGUGUAUAGAUGCACAGGAAAUUUUGAUUUUUCAAGGGAUGGUUUAAAUCCAUUAAGUAUAA